UCUGGUUGAUCCUGGCGGAGGUUACUGCUAUCGAGGUUCGACUAAGCCAUGCGAGUCGAAUGUAGCAAUACAUGGCGAACUGCUCAGUAACACGUGGACAACCUGCCCUUAGGUUGGGUAUAAACCCGGGAAACUGGGUAUAAUACCCGAUAGGUCUCGAUUGCUGGAAUGCAUCGAGAUUUAAAGCUCCGGCGCCUAAGGAUGGGUCUGCGGCCUAUCAGGUAGUAGUGGGUGUAGCGUACCUACUAGCCUACGACGGGUACGGGUUGUGAGAGCAAGAGCCCGGAGAUGGAUUCUGAGACACGAAUCCAGGCCCUACGGGGUGCAGCAGGCGCGAAAACUUUACAAUGCUGGCAACAGCGAUAAGGGAACCUCGAGUGCCAGGUUACAAAUCUGGCUGUCGAGAUGCCUAAAAAGCAUUUCAUAGCAAGGGCCGGGCAAGACCGGUGCCAGCCGCCGCGGUAACACCGGCGGCUCGAGUGGUAACCGUUAUUAUUGGG
rnacentral:rRNA from 1 species